rnacentral:rRNA from 1 species
UACGGAGGAUGCGAGCGUUAUCCGGAUUUAUUGGGUUUAAAGGGUGCGCAGGCGGCGUGUCAAGCAAGCGGUAAAAUAGCGGGGCUCAACCCCGUCGAGCCGUUUGAACUGGCGCGCUUGAGUUCAGGCGAGGUAGGCGGAAUUCGUGGUGUAGCGGUGAAAUGCUUAGAGAUCAUACAGAACACCGAUUGCGAAGGCAGCUUACCAAACUAUAUCUGACGUUGAGGCACGAAAGCGUGGGUAGCAAACAGG